rnacentral:rRNA from 1 species
AUUGAACGCUGGCGGCAGGCUUAACACAUGCAAGUCGAGCGAGCGGCGGACGGGUGAGCAAUGUCUGGGACACUGCCUGAUGGAGGGGGAUAACUACUGGAAACGGUAGCUAAUACCGCAUACCAUCAGAUGUGCCCGGAUGGGAUUGGCUAGGAGGUGGGGUAAUGGCUCACCUAGGCGACGAUCCCUAGCUGUCCUGAGAGGAUGACCAGCCACACUGGAACUGAGCCACGGGCCAGACUCCUACGGAAGGCAGCAGUGGGGAAUAUUGCACAAUGGGCGCAAGCCUGAUACAGCCAUGCCGCGUGUGUGAAGAAGGCCUUCGGGUUGUAAAGCACUUUCAGCGAGGAGGCGUUACUCGCAGAAGAAGCACCGGCUAACUCCGUGCCAGCAGCCGCGGUAAUUC